UAUACAUGCAAGUCGAGCGAAUCGAUGGGAGCUUGCUCCCUGAGAUUAGCGGCGGACGGGUGAGUAACACGUGGGCAACCUGCCUAUAAGACUGGGAUAACUUCGGGAAACCGGAGCUAAUACCGGAUACGUUCUUUUCUCGCAUGAGAGAAGAUGGAAAGACGGUUUACGCUGUCACUUAUAGAUGGGCCCGCGGCGCAUUAGCUAGUUGGUGAGGUAAUGGCUCACCAAGGCGACGAUGCGUAGCCGACCUGAGAGGGUGAUCGGCCACACUGGGACUGAGACACGGCCCAGACUCCUACGGGAGGCAGCAGUAGGGAAUCUUCCGCAAUGGACGAAAGUCUGACGGAGCAACGCCGCGUGAACGAAGAAGGCCUUCGGGUCGUAAAGUUCUGUUGUUAGGGAAGAACAAGUACCAGAGUAACUGCUGGUACCUUGACGGUACCUAACCAGAAAGCCACGGCUAACUACGUGCCAGCAGCCGCGGUAAUACGUAGGUGGCAAGCGUUGUCCGGAAUUAUUGGGCGUAAAGCGCGCGCAGGUGGUUCUUUAAGUCUGAUGUGAAAGCCCACGGCUCAACCGUGGAGGGUCAUUGGAAACUGGGGAACUUGAGUGCAGAAGAGGAAAGU
rnacentral:rRNA from 2 species